rnacentral:lncRNA from 1 species
CAAAGCCUAGUUAAAUGCUUUCAAAAAUAUAGAAGUAAAUUUUGGAUCUUUGUUAGACACUAUGCUAACUAGUAUUCCAUGCAAUCUUAUCAUCUCUGACAUACACACCUUUUGUUUUCCUUCCCGUUUAGACGUGGUGUAAGUGGUUUUAACAUGUAAGAAAUGUGCCGAUUUGGUUAAUCUAUGAACUAUUACCCAAAUUGGAUCAUGAAUCACCUGCGUAUGAGGUAAUCCUACUAUGAAAUCCAUAGACAUUUUCUCCCAAUUCUACAUCAUGGAAUUUCUAGAGGUUGGAGUAUGCCUCCUAGUCUUUGGUGUUCAAUCUUCACUCCCUAACGAACCAAAUAUUGUGCUACAAAUUUACAAUAUCAGUCUUCAUUCGAGGCCACCAAUAAUAUUUCUUCAAAUUCUUGUAUAUUUUGGUGGAUCCUUGAUGAAUGAUGAAAUUA